rnacentral:tRNA from 1 species
GCCCCUGUAGGCUAACGGAUAGACCGUGCGGCUUCGGACCGCAAUGUGGGGGUUCGAUUCCCUCCAGGGGCG